GAGAAAGAGAGAUCGAGAGAAAAGAGAGACAAAGAAAUAGAGAGGCGAUGAAAUUGAGAGAGAGGCUAUGAAGACACGGAGAAAGAAACAGAAAAAGAGAGAGGCGAUCCUGGGACACGGAGAAAGAAGAGAUCGCCUCUCUGUUUCUGACAAAACGCCACUCUGUUUCUUUCACUAAGAUCGGAGUUCAUUCGCCAUUUUGAUUUUACCAGAGAAAGAAGCAGAAGAAGGAAGAUGAUAUCGACUUCAGCGUCAAGAACGAAAAAAGUCCCCUCUGCCCACAAGCAACGCCUCUGAUGGGUUCUAUUCUUUUUCUAAUUUUUUUUAGAGAUAGAGGAGGAAAAAAUAAACCUUGCAAUACAAAGAUGAGAAGGAGACAGACAGUGAGAGAACUACCACCGUUGCAGAAUACCGUUUCCUUGUGCCAGAUAAAGACAUUGGGACUUCUGCAAUAAGAGAAUUAAAAGAUUGACUAUGCUUCCAACGAUCUUGGCUUUCACUGUUUAAGGUGAGUGGAAGCAUGAAGGCAAGCAGAUGUAGAAGUUGUCCGGGAAGCCUGACGUAAGAUAAAGCUUAAGAGAUAAAGCAGCACGACAAGCAUUAGGCCAUUUUGACUGAACAAAUAUGAGGUAUAAAGAAAAGAGAUGCGAUUCUAGAACGAGAAUUCUUGAGUCAAAAGAUUGUCAUAGCAUUGAGCAACAGUGAUAGCUAUUGUGGUUGAUGUAGUCUUCUGUGUAAAUUAAAUGCCUAGAACAUAGAUAUAUAAAUGUGGCAAUAUUGUUUAUUGAAUAGUGUAUGAUCAACAAGAUACAUUAAAGGAAAAAGUGGAUUUGUGUAGUAAGGCUGAUUUACAAUUUAAUUGAAGUUGUAUGUAAAAUUGAAUUUGGAUUUUGGCUUUGAGCCAGUAAAAAUACAAAGAUUGCCAUUGUCUUUGCAAAUA